rnacentral:lncRNA from 1 species
GGACUUUUCCACCUUACAUGGCGGCACUUAAGUGUACUUACAUGGCGGAAUUCCGCCAUGUAAGUUUUGGGGUUUAUUAAAAACCCCAAAUCAGAACAGAACGCGUCUGUUCUGAUUGAAGUUUCCAAGCGCCGCCGACUGCAACCUCCGCCGACUGCCAACCUCCUCUGACGACGUGCUCGCUCGCCUCCGGUUCCAAGCUCGCCUCCGAUUGCUGGCUCCUCCGUCGUGGUUUGAUCACGCCGCCUCCGUCCUGGUGAGAUAUUUCAAUAAUAUUUGUUAAUUAAUUAAGUUUGUUUAUUGAUUGGUUUUUAGAAUUGAUUUUAUGUUGAAUGUAGUUUGAUUUUAUUGUGAUUUUUUUAGGGUUCUUCGUUAAGUCGCCGUGUCUUCGUCCUUGAUCUCCUAGAAGUGUGAAGGUAUAGUUUUAUUUGUUGUUUUUGUUUGUAUAAUCUUAUUCUUCAAUUUUGUAAUCUAUGGAUUUUUUUUUUUAUCUAUCUUAUGUCUACUUUAAUAUUUGUUUGUAUAUGUUUGUAUAAUCUUAUUCUUCUAUUAUGAUUUUUCAUGUUAUGUUUCAUCUAUUGAUUGAUUGUAUAUUAUACCUAAAAUAGUUUCAUUCUAAAAUAGAAAUAGUUUCAUGUUAUGAAAUAGUUUCAUGUUAUGAAAUAGUUUCAUGUUAUGUUUCAUUCUAAAAUAGAUUAUGUCUACAUGGAAUAAUAUUGAUUGUUUGUAUAAUCAUGUUAUUAUUAGUGUUUUUAGAUUGUCAUUUCUAGUGUUUAUAGGAAUUAGUUACAUAGAUGAUGAAUGUUUAUAUAGAUGUUUAUGUUAAUGUGGAUGUUUAUAUGGAUUUUUAUAUAGUUUAGUUAUGGAUGAAUUUAGAUAUGGAUGUUUAGAUAUGGUUGAUUUUAUUUGAUUUAGAUAUGGAUGUUUAUAUGACUUGUUUAAUAUUUGAUGUCUUGUUUAAUUUAUGAUGUCUACUGUCAUUUAGAUAUGAAAGAUUUAAUAUUCGAUUUAUAUUUUAUGAUUUUAUUUAAUUUUAUGUCUAAUGUUUAUUAGUUGAUUGGGUUUAUAAGUUUACAUGUUUAUAUUGCUUUAUAGUUAUUUAGUAAUUUUUUAAUGUAUUGUGUUAGUUUUUCCGCCUCCUCCGACAGCCGUGCUCGUGUCCGAUUGCCUUGCUCGCCUCGAUUGUUCGUUUUGGUAACAUUUUAGAAAUCGUUUUUGAUGAAAUCGUUUUUUACGAAUUAGUUAUAUUUUGUGUAUAAAUAAAUGUGUAUUUAAAUGUGUAUAAAUAAAUGAGGCACAUUAGUUAAAUAAAUGUGUAUUUAAUUAGAUAAAUAAUGACUGUUUUUAUUAAAUUAAUUAAAUAAAAUAAUGUUUUUAAAUAAUUAAAUAAUUAAUAUUUAUUUAAAUAAAUAAAUUACUGUUUUUAAAUAAUUUUAAAAUUACUGAAAUUCUUUAUAUUAUUUACUGUUAUGAAUUAAAUAAAUAAUAAUUUGUUUAAAAUUUUUUUUUUUUAAAAUUAAGUAAUAAAAUUAAUUUUUUGUCUUAUACUUGUAAAUAAUUAAUUUCCAUGAAAUUUUAAUUUGUUAAGUAAUAAUUAUUAAAUUGAAUCAAAAUAAUUUGUUAAUUAAAUUGGUAAUUAAAUAAUUAGAAAUUAUUUAAUUACUGUUUUUAAUAAUAAUUAAAAUAAUUAAAAUACAUUAAAAAAUCGAAUUGCUCGCCUCGAUUAUUUAAUUACUGUUUUUAAUAAUAAUUAAAAUAAUUAUUUCUUAUUUCGUAUUUUAAAUUAAAAUAAUUAAAUUUUUUAUUUAAUCAACUUAUUUGUAAAUUAUUUAAAUAAUUGUAAUUAAAUAUCAAUUUAAUUAAUAAUUUACAUGAAUCUAUAUCUUAAUUAAUUAUUUGCAUGAAAUAAAUUUGUUUUCAAUAUUUUAUGUUUUUAAAUUAUUUAAAAAAUAAUUAAAUAAUUUGUGUUUUUAAAUAAUUUAAAAUUUAUAUAAAAUAAUUAAUGUGUUUUUGAUUUGUUAUAGGUUUUUUAAAAUCAAGAUUGAAGUAAGUUUUCGAUUGAAGAAAAGCUCAUUUGCGGUAAAAAUUAUAUAAUUUUAUUUAAUCAAUUUAUUUUCAAAUUAUAUAAUUUAGUGUUAAAAUAAAUUAUUAAAUUAUCAUUUUAAUUAUAAAUUGAAAUAAGAAUAAUUAGUAUUUUAUUAAUUGAUUAACAAUUAUUAAAUAAUAAUUUAUGAUCAUUUUAAUUGAUAUAUGAUAAUUUUAAUUUGAAAUUAUUUAAUUAAUUAUUAAAUUGAAAUAAUAAUUAAUAAUUUGCAUGAAAUUAUUAUUUUUUUAAAUAAUUAGUAAUUGUUAAAUUGAAAUGUUAAUGAUUAAUUUGCAUGAAAUUAAAAAUUUGUUAAUUAAUUAGUAAUUAUUAAAUUGAAAUGUUAAUUAAUAGAAUUUGCAUGAAAUUAUAGAAAUCAUAAUGAAUAAUUAUUAAAUUGAAUGAUUUUAAAUUGAAAUAAUAAUCAUUAAUUUUCCAUGAAAUGAUUAAUUAAUUAAUUAUUUGUUUGUUUAAAAAAUAUUAAAUUAAUUAAUUUAAAAUUUUUUUUUAGAUUUUAAGAAAUGUCACGUAGAGUGAAGCAAUUACCUCGUAGGAGGCCGCUCUACCACCCAAUCCCCAAGAUUGUUUCCGGUUUUAUCUCCCGGUUCAUCCAGCACCGGCCUAUAAAUAAUUGAACUAGCUAGAUUACCUAGUUCAAUAAUUAGCUAGAUUUUCCCAAAAAAUUGAACUAUAACUAAUAUUGUAAUAGUCAAUUAAUUUUUAUCUAAUUAAUUUUAAUUCGAUAAAAAUUUUAAUUUUUAGGAUAAUGUCGAACGUUAUGAAAGUACCCGAUAAAUCUUGGAUGAGUUUAGA